rnacentral:rRNA from 1 species
UUUAAUAGUCGAACAGACUAACUUACCUAGCUGCUACACUAGCCAGCACCUUUAAUUCAACAUCGAGGUCACAAGAUCUUUUAUCAAUUAGGCCUCUCUAAAAGCAUUGUGCUGUUAUCCCUGAGGUAACUACGCUUUAACUUGUUAAAGAUCCUGAUCCUACUACACCGUCGGUGUAAAUGCUAGAUCCAUUAACUUACCGCCCCAGUAUGGUGCAACAGUACCAAGCACUCAGAUUGUUUGAGUCGGAGCUACUCCGAAACCAGCUCUGCAGGGUCUUAUCUUCCCAUUGAUUGAGAUUGAAGCUUUAAUCAAGUCCUUAACUUAUUCAAUUACAGGCUUAUAAGUCGUCUUUCAUGAGCCCCUUCAUUCUAGACCCCAAUUAAGAGCCAAGUUAUUAUGCUACCUUUGCACAGUUAAGG